rnacentral:sRNA from 1 species
GGACUCUAUUGAGUUUGCCGUAUUUGUACUCUCCGUUGACUGUAUCUCUACCGUCACCCCCGCCGAUGCACCAAGUCGUCUCCAUCAUCGGGAGGCCGGUGCACAUGACCGUUGACCGUCGUCGACUGCACCUCUGCCAUAAGAUGUUGGUGCAAUCUGCCCUCAUUGCAAGUGCGCACGUCAUGGUCAUAUUCACCGGAAACCCCUACCCAUUUGCUGGUUUGUGAAGUGCACCAUGUUAUGAUGUGUUUUUCACUUUUCCUCAUUUUGUUCAAUGUGCACUGCAAUUUGAAAUGUGUAUACCUCUUGUGAUGCAAAUUGUGCAUUUGUUCGGAAAAUAUGUUAGAGAUGUGUUAUGGGCAAAGUUGUUUUGCAGUUGGAAAUGUAUUAUGUAUAGAGCUGGUGCACAUGUGUGCAGUUUAAAAAUGAUGUAGUCAAAUGUGCCGUAGAGUGUAAAAAUGUAUUUUUAUUUGUGUAUAGGUUUGUGUGAAUGAAAAAUGUACAUAACACUUUCUGUGAAUGGAAAAUGUGCAGAACAUUUUUUUGUGGGAAUGGAAAUGUGCAUAUAUGUUUUGUUGAUGCGCAGAUGCAUCUUUAAAAGUGAUAUUUGUGUAGAUAUGUUUUUUUUAUGUUAAUUUGGAUGUAUUUUAUAGUGAAAUGUGCAAUUAAUUAUAUAUGUAAUGCACUCUAAAAAAUGCCUAUAUCCUCUUAUAAACAUAAAGAAGUGCAUCUAUUAAGAUGUCAUAAGACAUUGAGACAUUUUAUAAAAUGCCUUUAAGUUUGUAAACACAAUUCACCAUAAUGCACGAAUUACCCUCCAAACCCGAAAACCAUACAUCUUUCAUCCUCAACUAGCAAUAGUUUGAUAGUUGAGGGUGAAAGAUGUCUGUUUUUUUUAGAGGGGUAAUUCUAACUCGUACUCUCCCAAUAGUCUAGGGAUGUAAUUCAUAACAAGUACUUAAUGUAGUAUAGAUUUCUCAUAUCUUUUAUAGUUAAUGUAGUGAUUUAAUCAUCUAAUAUUCAAUAUCAACGAGAUAUCUUAAAUAUGCACAACCAUCCAAAAUAAUACAGAAUGCACAACCAGUCAAUUUCAACGGGAAACAAGGUAGCUUACCUCAUGCCUGCAGCUACAACGAAAAAGCAAAGAGAAAUAAUGAGAAAAAUCAAAGAGAAAAUGUCUCUAAAACAUUAUUCUGGUAGUGUUUGUUAGAAAAUUUUCUACAAAAAUAUUGCUUAUAGGGAUGAACUAAAUAUUAUAUAUUGAAGUGUGGUAGGUAGGUGUCAUACGGUUGAUAUUCCGUUCCUAUAAAUUUAUCAAACUCAGUCUAGGAUACAUGCCCGCACAAAUGUGUCACCUACAUUAAUUCUUAGUUUUAUAAUUAUUAGUAAUAUGUUUUUGCUUUGCAAUGGAUCAUGUCCAUAUAAUUGGGGACUAGUGGGGUGGAUGGAAUGAUGAAAAAGUAUUGAAUCUUAAUAUGGUUAUGCACACACAAAAGACCGUGGUAGAGAUAAUAAUUCUAGAAUGUUAUAAUUAUAUACUCAUCUUGCUUGGCACCUAACAUCAGAACCAGUUCAAAAUACUUAAUGUAGUAUUAUUUCCCAUAUAUUUUGUAGUUAAUACUGUGAUUUAUUUGUUUAAUUCAACAUCAACGAGAUAUCAUCAUUGUGCACAACCAUCCAAAAAUAUUAUUGAAUGCACAACUAUCCAUUUCAACGAGAACCAAGCUAGCUCACCUCAUGCCUGUAGCUCUGCUACGAAAAAACAAAGAUAAAUAAAGAGAAAAAAGAGAUAAAUAAUACCACAACAUCAUCUUCUGUAGUCUCAUCUUUCAUAGCCUCAUACGUCUAGCCAAAUUCUUGCUCAUGAAUCCGAUUCGUUUGUUGAUUCAUUCGCUCAAUCAAUCUCAUUUGAACCCCUUUCUUCUCUAUCAAUUUGGGUAUUUAGAUAAAAGUUUCAUAUUUUCUUCAAAUUGAUUUUUGAAUGUUUCACAUUCGAGUUAGAAACUUUGUAGUUUUGGGGAUAAAUCAGGAUAAAUGAUGGUCCAGAUCAGAUUCGUCUUCAAAAGUUGUUUUUUUUUUGACGGAAUGCGUAAAUAGCUAGCGCAGUUAUGCCAAUUUGCCAAUGCCAUCCAUCUGUCCUAUACCACUGCAUCCAUAUAUUUAAGCCACACUAAAGUAGUACAUAUUUUGUUUGGAAAAAAUAUAUUUUACUAUUAAAUUUAAAUUUUAGAAGUCAUGUUGAUUAGGUAUUUCAGAAAAUAACACAUUAAUUCAUAACAUAGGGAAGCGAGGUCUAGCCUUUGUAUAUCUUCUCCAUAUGUAUUAAUUCAUAGGCAGGUGUAACAAAUUACGUUAAAAUGAACCAAUCGGAAGGAGGGUUAUCUUGAUGGUAUAAAAAACAUAUUUAUUAGUAAUAAUAUUUUUUUUGGAUUUGUUAAAGAACAGUCACUAAGAUUGAAUUAAAAAAAUAAAAAAACACCUUAGUUUUAAUAUACUGUGGUUUGAUAGACAAGUUUUCUAAACAAAUAAUUGCUUGGAUGAAUUAACUAAUAACUUGAAAAAUUAUCUAAACAAUGUCGAUAAACAAAAAUUGUAAAAAAGAAAUACUUUUAAAGCGUGGCAGGUGCCAUACAGUUGAUAUUUUGCCCGUAUAAAUUUAUCGAACUCGUUCUACAAUACAUACCUACACAAAUGCACGGGUUACCUUUAUAGUCUUAUAGUUACUAAUAAUAUUACCGUGCUUUACAACGGAUCAGGUGUAUAUAAUUAGGGAUUGACUCGAUUGGUGGAUUGAGGAGAAAGUCUUACAGUGGUUAUGCACCCACAAAGGAAUGCACGACCUCCUACUCAUGUUUAGAAAGGGAUGGAAAAGAAACGACUGCGGCAGUGAACUUAAUUAUAUACUCAUCUUGCUUGCCACUUGACGUCAGAAUCAGUUUAAAGUACUUAAUGUAAUAUUAAUUUCUCAUAUCUUUCAUACUUAAUGCAAUGAUUUAAUCGUGCAAUAUUCAAUAUCAGUGAGAUAUCUUCAUUAUGAACAACCAUCCAAAAUAAUAUUGAAUGCACAAUUUCAACGGAGGUAGCUUACCUCAUGCCUGCAGCUGCAAUGAAAAAGCAAAGAGAAACACAGAAAAACAAUGACAAAUAAUCUCAUAUAUAGCAUCAUCU